rnacentral:tRNA from 1 species
GGGACUGUGGCUCCGCGGUACAGCGCCUGCUUGGCACGCAAAAGGUCCCGAGUUCAAUUCCUGGCAUCUCCA